UCAUAGAUCGCGCAGUCUGUCAUGGGACUCAAAGCCCCGCCUCGUUUGUGAAACCAUUGAGAGCGCGAGUGGAACUACAGCGAUUCGGCGGUGACCGGCGCAGAUCAGACCAGCUGGAGGUUCCGGGGAGAUUUCUGAAGCCAUGCAAACACUCCUUCCGUGGACUGUCUUCUUUUACCUCCUCCUAAGGUUUUAAGGAAGGGGGCCGAGCAGGACAGUAGGAUCUGUUGAAGUUUUGACUGUGGGUUUGCGUCUCCCUCUCACCCACGCUCUGUCUCCAGAAGCUGCAGGGGUUUUCGCUGAGCUGGCAGAAACGCGUCGCGACGCAGGAACAGAAAUAAACUUGGAGAACUCCAACACACACACACGCACAUCUUGUCCUCAUCGGACCUCCAAGCGCAAGCUGUGAGGGAUGAAAUACUACAGCGUUGAGUAA